AGGGCACCACCAGGAGUGGAGCCUGCGGCCUAAUUUGACUCAACACGGGAAAACUCACCCGGCCCGGACACUGGAAGGAUUGACAGAUUGAGAGCUCUUUCUUGAUUCAGUGGGUGGUGGUGCAUGGCCGUUCUUAGUUGGUGGAGUGAUUUGUCUGGUUAAUUCCGAUAACGAACGAGACUCUAGCCUACUAAAUAGAUCGUCGGCUUACAAACGCCGGCGAGACUUCUUAGAGGGACAGGCGGUGAUUCAACCGCACGAAACAGAGCAAUAACAGGUCUGUGAUGCCCUUAGAUGUCCGGGGCCGCACGCGCGCUACACUGAAGUGAUCAGCGUGCUUUUUCAACCUACUCUGUCAAGAGUGGGGAACCCAAUGAACCUUCUUCGUGAUUGGGAUAGGGGAUUGUAAUUAUUCCCCUUGAACGAGGAAUUCCCAGUAAGCGCGAGUCAUAAGCUCGCGUUGAUUACGUCCCUGCCCUUUGUACACACCGCCCGUCGCUACUACCGACUGAAUGUUUU
rnacentral:rRNA from 1 species